UACGUAGGGGGCAAGCGUUGUCCGGAUUUAUUGGGCGUAAAGAGCGUGUAGGCGGCCUGAAAGGUCAGCUGUGAAAACUCGAGGCUCAACCUCGAGACGUCGGUUGAAACCAUCUGGCUAGAGUCCGGAAGAGGAGUGUGGAAUUCCCGGUGUAGCGGUGAAAUGCGCAGAUAUCGGGAAGAACACCCGUGGCGAAGGCAGCUCUCUGGGACGGUACUGACGCUGAGACGCGAAAGCGUGGGGAGCGAACAGG
rnacentral:rRNA from 1 species